UGUUCCCUGCGGCGUUGGUCGAGGCCAUAUAUUCUUUGAACCAAUGCUUGAUGGCAUUGGCUGCGGACUUUCAGGCUGAUGUUGCGGGCGGCUCUCGUCAGCCGCCCCUGAUUCGGCGGGAAUGCGGCCACCUUGAACCUCGGUUCAGGAUGCCGGUCUCGACUGCGCUCGCGGGGAGCCA
rnacentral:other from 1 species